rnacentral:rRNA from 1 species
UACAGAGGUGCCAAGCGUUGUUCGGAUUUAUUGGGCGUAAAGGGUGCGUAGGCGGUGAUGCAAGUCGGUUGUGAAAUUCCGGAGCCUAACUCCGGAACUGCAUUCGAAACUGCAUCGCUCGAGGUCUGGAGAGGUAAUUGGAAUUCUGGUGUAGCAGUGAAAUGCGUAGAUAUCAAGAGGAACACCAGAGGCGAAAAGCGAAAUUACUGGACAGAACCUGACGCUGAGGCACGAAAGCUAGGGGAGCAAACGGG